rnacentral:rRNA from 1 species
CCUGAUCCAGCCAUGCCGCGUGUGUGAAGAAGGCCUUUUGGUUGUAAAGCACUUUAAGCGAGGAGGAGGCUACCGAGAUUAAUACUCUUGGAUAGGGACGUUACUCGCAGAAUAAGCACCGGCUAACUCUGUGCCAGCAGCCGCGGUAAUACAGAGGGUGCGAGCGUUAAUCGGAUUUACUGGGCGUAAAGCGUGCGUAGGCGGCUUUUUAAGUCGGAUGUGAAAUCCCUGAGCUUAACUUAGGAAUUGCAUUCGAUACUGGGAAGCUAGAGUAUGGGAGAGGAUGGUAGAAUUCCAGGUGUAGCGGUGAAAUGCGUAGAGAUCUGGAGGAAUACCGAUGGCGAAGGCAGCCAUCUGGCCUAAUACUGACGCUGAGGUACGAAAGCAUGGGGAGCAAACAGGAUUAGAUACCCUGGUAGUCCAUGCCGUAAACGAUGUCUACUAGCCGUUGGGGCCUUUGAGGCUUUAGUGGCGCAGCUAACGCGAUAAGUAGACCGCCUGGGGA